GACGAACGCUGGCGGCGUGCUUAACACAUGCAAGUCGAGCGGUAAGGCCUUUCGGGGUACACGAGCGGCGAACGGGUGAGUAACACGUGGGUGAUCUGCCCUGCACUUCGGGAUAAGCCUGGGAAACUGGGUCUAAUACCGGAUAUGACCUCCUAUCGCAUGGUGGGUGGUGGAAAGAUUUAUCGGUGCAGGAUGGGCCCGCGGCCUAUCAGCUUGUUGGUGGGGUAAUGGCCUACCAAGGCGACGACGGGUAGCCGACCUGAGAGGGUGACCGGCCACACUGGGACUGAGACACGGCCCAGACUCCUACGGGAGGCAGCAGUGGGGAGUAUUGCACAGUGGGCGAAAGCCUGAUGCAGCGACGCCGCGUGAGGGAUGACGGCCUUCGGGUUGUAAACCUCUUUCAGCAGGGACGAAGCGCAAGUGACGGUACCUGCAGAAGAAGCACCGGCUAACUACGUG
rnacentral:rRNA from 1 species